rnacentral:ncRNA from 1 species
GAAACUUACUAGAUACAACCAUAAUAAGGAUUUACAAACUAAGAACUCUCUCUUAAUUCUAAGAGUGGUGAUGCAUGGUUAUUCUUAGUUGGUGGAGUGAUUUUUUUGGUCAAUUCCACCAAUUAGCGCACACACAACAGAAUUUUGUUGAAGGUUUUGCCACUCCAAUUUUUGAGAAACAUUUCAAAGCUUGAAAAAAUAAUUUGAUAACAAAGGAGUUAUCAUUUUAGUUUGCAUGG